AUGUGUUUGCUGCUGUUAUGCAUGUCUUGCUGUUCUUCUAGUUUGCUAGAUUAUUGCAUGCUAGUAUCUCUUCUAGUCAUGAUUUAUUUACUGGAAUUAAUCAUGAACUUGCCUAAUAUUCCAACAAUCCAAAAACCUAAUUGUAGGCAAUUUCCUGAGUUAACUAUGGCUGGAUUUGCUGAUGCACUGAGGCCGGAUAAGUUUACCGGUGUGCACUUUAAGAGGUGGCAGGUGAAGACCACGCUCUGGCUUACUGCUCUGAAAUUUUUCCACGCUAGUGUUGGUGCUCCAGAGGGAAUAACCGACGAAGAUCGGAGAAAAUUCCAGGAAGCCAAUACUAUGUUUGUGGGAUGCAUUCUGAGUGUUCUUGCUGACCGUCUGUGUGAUGUGUACAUGCACAUAAACGACGGAAAAAUUCUGUGGGAUGCACUGAAUGCAAAAUUCGGUGCAACAGAUGCAGGCAGUGAACUGUACAUCAUGGAGAGUUUUCAUGACUACAAGAUGGUGAAUAACCGUUCUGUGGUUGAACAAGCUCAUGAGAUACAGUGCAUUGUGAAGGAACUUGAACUCCUUAAAUGUGUUCUACCCGACAAAUUCGUGGCUGGGUGCAUGAUUGCAAAGUUGCCUCCUUCAUGGAGGAAUUUCGCCACAACUCUGAAGCAUAAGAGACAGGAGAUAUCAGUUGAAAAUCUGAUUGCAUCUCUUGAUGUUGAAGAAAAAGCUCGGGCUAAAGAUACCACUGAAAAAGGAGGUGAGGUUCAGCCUACUGCUAACAUGGUGCAGAGGUACCCACAGAACAAGAACAAAGGGAAGAACAAACCUAUUUUCAACAAGCCUACCAAGACUACUACUUUCAAGAAGAAGAAGUUCAACAAGGCUGAGCUAGAGUGCUACGCCUGUGGGAAGCCUGGACACUUUUCCAAGGAAUGCCCUGAACGUGCAGACCGCAGAGGGAAAACAAGCUCCAAGACUGUCAACAUGGUGACCGCUAGCAAUACUGAUGGGUCGCAAGGGAUUCUUCCGUCCUAA
rnacentral:rRNA from 1 species